rnacentral:rRNA from 1 species
AUUGAACGCUGGCGGCAUGCCUUACACAUGCAAGUCGAACGGCAGCACGGGUGCUUGCACCUGGUGGCGAGUGGCGAACGGGUGAGUAAUACAUCGGAACAUGUCCUGUAGUGGGGGAUAGCCCGGCGAAAGCCGGAUUAAUACCGCAUACGAUCUACGGAUGAAAGCGGGGGACCUUCGGGCCUCGCGCUAUAGGGUUGGCCGAUGGCUGAUUCGCUAGUUGGGGGGGUAAAGGCCUACCAAGGCGACGAUCAGUAGCUGGUCUGAGAGGACGACCAGCCACACUGGGACUGAGACACGGCCCAGACUCCUACGGGAGGCAGCAGUGGGGAAUUUUGGACAAUGGGCGAAAGCCUGAUCCAGCAAUGCCGCGUGUGUGAAGAAGGCCUUCGGGUUGUAAAGCACUUUUGUCCGGAAAGAAAUCCUUGGCCCUAAUACGGUCGGGGGAUGACGGUACCGGAAGAAUAAGCACCGGCUAACUACGUG